rnacentral:rRNA from 1 species
UACGUAGGGGGCAAGCGUUGUCCGGAUUUAUUGGGCGUAAAGCGCUCGCAGGCGGCUCGAUGCGUCGUGCGUGAAACACCCCGGCUCAACUGGGGAGGGUCGUGCGAUACGGUCGGGCUGGAGGCCAGUAGGGGGAUGCGGAAUUCCGGGUGUAGUGGUGGAAUGCGCAGAUAUCAGGAGGAACACCGGUGGCGAAGGCGGGUCUCUGGGCCGAUACUGACGCUGAGGAGCGAAAGCGUGGGGAGCAAACAGG